AAGUUCAUAAAGCUUCGAGAUUUUCCGGCUAAGGGGUACUAUGCCGGUUGAUCCUGAGUAUAACUCACAGGGCGGCGACGGAAACGUUGCCGCCUCCCAUGACGCAGGGGAUAUCCUGCCAGGAAAGAAGCCUGUAAUUUUGCUGA
rnacentral:ncRNA from 2 species